rnacentral:misc_RNA from 1 species
GCAAUAGCUUCUCUGCAUUGCUUCAAAAUCUUUACGCAGGCCUCGUCGCUCCAGUUAUGCAGAACAGACUUGAUCAGAACUGCCUCGGCAGAAGGAAUCGACUGAAACAUGUCACCAGCGACAAAUUUCACGUUUUUGCUCUCUGGCAAGUUUGCAACAACUUGCGGGAGAUCCAAGACUGUGCAUUUCAUAUGAGGGUAUGCAUCAGAAAUUGUCCUGGCUAGAGUUCCUGUUCCACCCCCUACAUCAACCAGUGAAGCCACACCUUCAAACAUUUCCUUAUGGUUCUUAACAAUCAAGCUCACCAACUGAGAAUCACAGGCCAUGG